rnacentral:rRNA from 1 species
UACGGGGGGGGCUAGCGUUGUUCGGAAUUACUGGGCGUAAAGGGCGCGUAGGCGGUCUGCUAAGUUGGAUGUGAAAACUCUGGGCUUACCCAGAGCCUGCAUUCAAAACUGACAGGCUAGAGUUCUGGAGGGGAUAGCGGAAUUCCUGGUGUAGCGGUGAAAUGCGUAGAUAUCAGGAGGAACACCGAUGGCGAAGGCAGGUCUCUGGGCUGACACUGACGCUCAUGCACGAAAGCGUGGGGAGCAAACAGG